rnacentral:rRNA from 1 species
GCGUAGACAACCAGGAGGUUGGCUUGGAAGCAGCCAUCCUUGAAAGAGUGCGUAAUAGCUCACUGGUCAAGUGAUUCCGCGCCGAUAAUGUAGCGGGGCUUAAGUUAUCCGCCGAAGCUGUGGCAACCUGUGUGGUUGGGUAGGGGAGCGUCGUGUCAGUGGUGAAGCUGCCGGGUGACUGUGUGGUGGAGUUGAUGCGAGUGAGAAUGCAGGCAUGAGUAGCGUGUGACGGGUGGGAAUCCCGUCCGCCGAUUAUCCAAGGGUUCCAGGGUCAAGUUUGUCUGCCCUGGGUGAGUCGGGUCCUAAGGCGAGGCCGACAGGCGUAGUCGAUGGGUAACCAGUUGAUAUUCUGGUACCGGCUUGUCACCGUCCGUGUCGAGGUGUGUGAUGCUAAGCAUGUGAGCUUGUCUUGGGAGUGUUUUUGAUGCUUCUGGGGUGGGUGAGUGUGUGAACCGAUCAUGUAGUAGGCAAGCUGCGGAGGGACGCAGUGAGGUAGCUCAUCCCCGGUGAUGGUUGUCCGGGGCUAAGUGUGUGGACUGUCUGGUAGGUAAAUCCGCUGGGCGUGAAGGUUGAGGCAUGAUGGGGAGCCCACGGUUGUGGGUGAGUGAGUGAUCCUGUACUGUCGAGAAAAGCUUCGUGAGCGAGGUGGCGGGUCCGCCCGUACCCUAAACCGACACUGGUGGAUAGGUAGAGUAUACCGAGGCGAUCGAGUGAAUCGUGGUGAAGGAACUCGGCAAAAUGCCCCCGUAACUUUGGGAUAAGGGGGACCUGA